rnacentral:rRNA from 1 species
GGAUGCGAUCAUACCAGCACUAAAGCACCGGAUCCCAUCAGAACUCCGAAGUUAAGCGUGCUUGGGCGAGAGUAGUAUUAGGAUGGGUGACCUCCUGGGAGGUCCUCGUGUUGCAUUCC